CAAUAGCGUAUAUUUAAGUUGUUGCAGUUAAAAAGCUCGUAGUUGGAUUUCGGAUGGGAUUUGCCGGUCCGUCGUUACGAUGUGCACUGGCCAGUCCUAUCUUGUUGUCGGGGACUAGCUCCUUGGAUUCACUUCCUGGGACUAGGAGCUGACGAGGUUACUUUGAGUAAAUUAGAGUGUUCAAAGCAAGCCUACGCUCUGAACACAUUAGCAUGGAAUAACACGAUAGGACUCUGGCUUAUCUUGUUGGUCUGUGAGACCAGAGUAAUGAUUAAGAGGGACAGUCGGGGACAUUCGUAUUUCAUUGUCAGAGGUGAAAUUCUUGGAUUUAUGAAAGACGAACUUCUGCGAAAGCAUUUGUCAAGGAUGUUUUCAUUAA
rnacentral:rRNA from 1 species